rnacentral:SRP_RNA from 1 species
ACUGGGCAUGGUAGCUCACGCCUGUAAUCCCCGCACUUUGGGAGGCCGAGACGGGCGGAUCACGAGGUCAGGAGAUCGAGACCAUCCUGGCUAACACAGUGAAACCCCGCCUAUACUAAAAAUACAAAAAAUUAGCCGGGCGAGGUGGUGGGCGCCUGUAGUCCCAGCUANNNNNNNNNNUAGCUGGGACUACAGGCGCCCACCACCUCGCCCGGCUAAUUUUUUGUAUUUUUAGUAUAGGCGGGGUUUCACUGUGUUAGCCAGGAUGGGCUCAAUCUCCUGACCUCGUGAUCCACCCUCUUAU